UUAUAUUUUGCAAAUAUUUUGGGAAACAUUAAUUUUUGUUUCCGUGCUCUCCCGUUCUUCCCUGCGGAGUGCGCUGCGCCGCCCAGCCCUGUCGCCCCCCGGAGGUGAUCCCUCCCUCCUGGGUGCCCGCCACCCUGACCUGUGCCCGGCUCGCG
rnacentral:other from 1 species